UCCUCGUCGCGGAUCCGGGAUCCCCAUCGCCGGAUCUACCCAUUCCCGCGUCCCCGGCCUCCUCCGCGUCACCCUGCCGCCUCCUUCAUGCCGGCGAGCACUGCAAGCCACCGCCGCCACCAUGGCUCUUCUCGGGUUCGAGCAGAGAAACCGCUCGACCCGCCUGCGUCGUGCGUGCGUGGGCCGCGGCUCGAGCCGGCCCAGCUUCUCCAGCGCCCCACCAGGGCCUCCUCUCCAAGGCCUCAAGGCCCAAUGUGAGGCCACUCCCCAGCGCCUUUUUUCCUCUGGUGGGCUAGCGGAUUCGGCCCAUUACGUUUUUUUUCAGUUAUGGAGGUUUUUCCUAUUUAUCCAGAGAUGUUAGUUUUACAGAAAAGACCCUCGUGUUCAUACAUUUAAUAUCUUGCAAACUAUGCAUCACAUGUAAAAACUUUAUAUAUGAAAUAUGACUAGAAUUUCAUCUAGUUUCACAAUAUCCAACUUUCAUGCAUGUUUGAAAUGCUUAAAUUGUUGUUUGUUUAAAUUUGCCCCUAUGCCAUGUUAAAAUGAUUUAAUUCAUAACUAAAUAACCGUAGCUCCAAAUUUAAUAAACUUUAUAUGUAAACGGGGUAGAAAAAUGCCUAGUUUAACAUGGUGUACUUGCUUUGCUUAACAACUUUAAAAUUUGUUUUAGGGCAGAACAGUACCAAACCUAAAAAUAUGCACAUGAGGAGUUUCCGGACUUGUUGUUUCUUGUCCCGGCCUCAUUUAAACUUGCCUAGACUAGGUAGUUUUCUUAUGCUUCACCUCUUGCCAUGUUUAACAACAUUUAAUUUGUUGAGUACUUAUACGGGAGAGAACUAAAUAAUUGUUGUGGUGUUCUGUCAAUAUGCAACUCGUUGCAUAUUGAGCUCCACUUAAUUUGUAGGAUUGUUUGUGCAUUUUGCCAUGCCAUGUUUCAUUUAACCGGACAUGCAUCAUACUUGUUUGCGCAUCAUGCCAUGCUUAUGUGUUGGUCGUUUACUAUGUUGCUUGCUUCUUUCCGGGUUGCUUCCCUCGUUAGCUUUGGUUCCGUACCGGAGUUGUGAGGAUUCGUUCGACUUCGUCUGUUUGUCUUCUUCAUGGACUCGUUCUUCUUCCUUGCGGGAUUUCAGGCAAGAUGACCAUACUCUCGAAAUCACUUCUAUCUUUGCUUGCCAGUUGCUCGCUCUUUUUCUAUGCCGCGAUACCUACCACUUGUUAUAUCAUGCCUCCCAUAUUGCCAUGUCAAGCCUCUAACCCACCUUUCCUAGCAAACCUUUGUUUGGCUAUGUUACCGCUUUUGCUCAGCCCCUCUUAUAGCGUUGCUAGUUGCAGGUGAAGAUGGAGUUUGUUCCAUGUUGGAACAUGGUUAUUGUUGGGAUAUCAUUAUUAUAUCUUGUUUACUUUAAUGCACCUAUAUACUUGGUAAAGGGUGGAAGGCUCGGCCUUAUGCCUGGUGUUUUGUUCCACUCUUGCCGCCCUAGUUUCCGUCAUACCGGUGUUAUGUUUCUUGAUUUUGCGUUCCUUACACGGUUGGGGUGUUAUGGGAACCCCUUGACAGUUCGCUUUGAAUAAAACUCCUCCAUCAAGGCCCAACCUUGGUUUUACAUUUGCCUCACCUAGCCUUUUUUCCCUUGGAUUUCCGGAGCCCGGGGGUCAUCUUUAUUUUAACCCCCCCGGCCAGUGCUUCUCUAAGUGUUGGUCCAACCUGAGCGAUGUCCGGCGCCCCCUGACAACCAGGGUCUAUGCCAACCCGACGUCUGGCUCAUCCGGUGUGCCCUGUGAACGAGAUAUGUGCAGCUCCUAUCGGGAUUUGUCGGCAUAUUCGGGCGGCUUUGCUGGUCUUGUUUUACCAUUGUCAAAAUGUCUUGUAACCGGGAUUCCGAGUCUGAUCGGGUCUUCCUGGGAGAAGAAAUAUUCUUCGUUGACCGUGAGAGCUUGUGAUGGGCUAAGUUGGGACACCCCUGCAGGGUUUAAACUUUCAAAAGUCGUGCCCGCGGUUAUGGGCAGAUGUGAAUUUGUUAAUGUCCGGUUGUAAAAAACUUGAAACUUAACUUAAUUAAAAUGCAUCAACCGCGUGUGUAGCCGUGAUGGUCUCUUUCCGGCGGAGUCCGGGAAGUGAACACGGUUCUUGUGUUAUGCUUGAACGUAAGUAGUUUCAGGAUCACUUCUUGAUCACUUCUAGUUCACGACUGUGCUUUGCUUCUCUUCUCGCUCUCAUUUGCGUAAGUUAGCCACCAUAUAUGCUAGUGCUUGCUGCAGCUCCACCUCACUACUCUUUCCAACCCAUAAGCUUAAAUAGUCUUGAUCUCACGGGUGUGAGAUUGCUGAGUCCUCAUGGCUCACAGAUACUUCCAAACAGUUGCAGGUGCCGAUGAUACCAGCGCAGAUGGCGCAACCAAGCUCAAGUGGGAGCCCGAUGAAGAUCGUGUUUGUUGUGUUGUUUCGUUUCCAGUUGAUCAGUAGUGGAGCCCAGUCGGGACGAUCAAGGAUCUAGCAUUUGGCGUUUUCUUCUUUAUUUUGGUUCCAUAGUCGGACCUUGAUUGUACUCUGGAUGUUGUAUGAUAUAUUCAUGUAUUGUGUGAAGUGGCGAUUGUAAGCCAACUCUCUAUCCCUUUUUUAUUCAAUACAUGAGAUGUGUAAAGAUUACCCCUCUUGCGAUAGACCC
rnacentral:lncRNA from 1 species